GUUCACUCCUGGGGCGCCGCCCCCUGCCUCUGGGGCCGCCGCCUCUUCCUGCCCUUAGCCCUUAGGGCCGCUGCCACCACCGCCGAUGGCGGACAUAUGGGCGCCGCCUUUGAGGGCGACUGCGUCGUCGUCGAAGAACAGAGAUGCGCCUCGGCGUGCAGUAAUCUAGUGGUGGCGACCAUGCAGCGGGAGGACGAGAAGACCAUCGUCGAUUGCAAAGAAAUGCCGGACGACUUGAUUGCCGAUUCCAACGAAGACGACGCGUCUGUUAUUCAUUCUCCGUCGCCUCAUUCGUGGACUUAGUUCAUGAUUUUCCUGCAUGUACUUAAUUAACGAUGCAAGAAGAGUAAACAAAAUGUAAAUAGUCAGAUUUUGAUGAGCAUGUCGCCGGCAAGCAGCCGGCCGUUCUUCCUGUCA